rnacentral:rRNA from 1 species
UACAGAGGGUGCGAGCGUUGUUCGGAAUUACUGGGCGUAAAGCGCGCGUAGGCGGAUUUGCAAGUCGGGGGUGAAAGCCCGAGGCUCAACCUCGGAACUGCCCUCGAUACUGCAAAUCUCGAGUCCGAGAGAGGUGAGUGGAAUUCCUAGUGUAGAGGUGAAAUUCGUAGAUAUUCGGAAGAACACCAGUGGCGAAGGCGACUCGCUGGACAAGUAUUGACGCUGAGGUGCGAAAGCGUGGGGAGCAAACAGG